rnacentral:lncRNA from 10 species
AAGAACCCCAAGGAAGAGUCCCAGCCCUUCCUUUCGCCUCUGGGGGCAGUUUGGCCCCGCCCCGGCCUUUGGGACGGGUGGGGCUGUGGAUGGGGAUGGGAAUUGGAAUUGAGCAAUUGGGAGGAGGCGCUGCCGCAGGCGUUUUCUGCCCCAUACCGCUCCCUAUAUCCUCUUCCUCUCUUCCCCAGACCCCCACCUCUCCCUCCUCCUUCCCCAGUCGUUCGCCGGAAAGCAUUUGUCUCCCACCUCUUCAUAACAACAAUUAAUUUCCUCUGGGGCCUGAGGAGGGCAGAAUUUCAACCUUCGGUGUGCUUGGGAGUGGCGAUUGUGAUUUACACGACAAAAUGGUCAGGUUUAGAAUAGUUGUUCGUGGUUGAAAGACUUGGAUAAAUGUGGAUGAGAUAGAAGGGGAAGCCGAGGUGCUCGGUGGAGUCAUGGCAGUGCCCUUUGUGGAAGACUGGGACUUGGUGCAAACCCUGGGAGAAGGUGCCUAUGGAGAAGUUCAACUUGCUGUGAAUAGAGUAACUGAAGAAGCAGUCGCAGUGAAGAUUGUAGAUAUGA